CAAUAGCGUAUAUUAAAGUUGUUGCGGUUAAAAGCUCGUAGUUGGAUUUCUGUCGGUGAGUUGCAGUCCGGCCACUGUGCUUGGUACUUGUAACGCCACCGGCAUCUUCCUGGGGACUGUGUCUGCUCUUCGUUGAGUGGCUCAUAAUCCAGGACUUUUACUUUGAAGAAAUAGGAGUGUUUCAAGCAGGCAUGCGCCGUGAACACGUUAGCAUGGAAUAAUAGCAUCGGACCUCGUUCCAAAGCUGUUGGUUUCUUGGACCGAGGUAAAGGUGAAUAGGGAUUGUUGGGGGCAUUCGUAUUUAACUGUCAGAGGUGAAAUUCUUGGAUUUGUUGAAGACGGACUACUGCGAAAGCAUCUGCCAAAGAUGUUCUCAUUGAUCAAGAACGAAAGUUAGGUGAUCGAAGACGAUCAGAUACCGU
rnacentral:rRNA from 1 species